rnacentral:rRNA from 1 species
UACGGAGGAUGCAAGCGUUAUCCGGAAUGAUUGGGCGUAAAGGGUCCGCAGGUGGCAGUGUAAGUCUGCUGUCAAAGAAUGAGGCUUAACCUCAUCAAGGCAGUGGAAACUACACAGCUAGAGUACGGUCGGGGUAGAAGGAAUUCCUGGUGUAGCGGUGAAAUGCGUAGAGAUCAGGAAGAACAUCGGUGGCGAAGGCGCUCUGCUGGACCAUAACUGACACUCAGGGACGAAAGCUAGGGGAGCGAAUGGG